AGAGUUUGAUCCUGGCUCAGGAUGAACGCUGCGGCGUGCCUAAUACAUGCAAGUCGAGCGAACAGAUGAGAAGCUUGCUUCUCUGAUGUUAGCGGCGGACGGGUGAGUAACACGUGGGUAACCUACCUAUAAGACUGGGAUAACUCCGGGAAACCGGGGCUAAUACCGGAUAAUAUAUUGAACCGCAUGGUUCAAUGUUGAAAGACGGUUUCGGCUGUCACUUAUAGAUGGACCCGCGCCGUAUUAGCUAGUUGGUAAGGUAACGGCUUACCAAGGCAACGAUACGUAGCCGACCUGAGAGGGUGAUCGGCCACACUGGAACUGAGACACGGUCCAGACUCCUACGGGAGGCAGCAGUAGGGAAUCUUCCGCAAUGGGCGAAAGCCUGACGGAGCAACGCCGCGUGAGUGAUGAAGGUCUUAGGACCGUAAAACUCUGUUGUUAGGGAAGAACAAAUUUGUUAGUAACUGAACAAGUCUUGACGGUACCUAACCAGAAAGCCACGGCUAACUACGUG
rnacentral:rRNA from 1 species